AAGAGAGAAAAAGAGUAAGGUUUCACAGACAGGGUAUAAGAAAAUAGUCUGUGAGGAAAAUAGAGAGUGAGCGAUAUUGUAGUGAGGUUGAAUAUCAAAAGAGAGUUAUUUCUUUUGAGUGUUGUAGUGGUCUUUGGAGUAUUUUACUCGUACCUAUAAAGUGUGAAAAUUUCUUACUAUAGUGAUAUCAGUUGCUCCUCUCAGGGCCGUGGUUUCUUCCCUUAUUCAGAAGGGUUUUCCACGUAAAAAUCUUGGUGUCAUUGUUACUCUUUUAUUCUUGUUAAUUACCGUAUCUCGGUGCUACAUUAUUAUUCCGCUUUUAUUACCGUGAAUAUUAUUUUGGUAAGGGGUUUAUUCCCAACAGAAACUUCUUUGCAAAUCGCAUGCGGUGCAUCAACAGCAGAAAAAAAAGCGCGAUAAUUUCC
rnacentral:lncRNA from 1 species